rnacentral:lncRNA from 1 species
CUUCUGAGAAUCAUGUGGAAAGAUUAGAAUAAAGGCUAGACGAUUAAAAAAAAAAAAGCUAGAGGCUAUAGGGAGCCUGUUCUGACUCCGUAUAAUGAUGAAUGUCUUAGCAGCUAGGCAGCAACGCGAAUGGAAUGGUUAAUCUGCAAGGAGACGAGCGCGCUCUCGGGAUGGUUCGAAGAAGGCUGAUUGAGGAGACAGUCUUACACGGGGUGCACCAAUGCGCCUAUGGCCUCGAAGGUGACUCUCAACUCUGAGUCUUUGAUCCUGGGAUUUCACAGCCUUAAAGAAGACCAAGGGAGCCGAGUAGAUGGGAGCCAAGCACUCUCUCUGCAGAGAUGGCCACAGGCUGCAAGGAGGACUUUUCAGGACAUCCUGCUGCUUGAUGACCUAAAGACGCAGAAUUGCUCACUACCUUCCUCAGAAGUUCCAGGUGAGGCCAUUUUGUCUGUCCUCUGCCCCCAAAGUGUAAUACAGAGGCCGAUGAGAGCCCCCGCUCCUGUAAUCUCUGGGGAACCCUCCGUGCUGAAGCCGGUCCCAGUCUAUCCUGCCGCUACCCCUGCCCACACCCGGAGCCCCUGGCUGCAGCGCCGUCUUCCAGCACCACCGGCUGCAAGCACACUUUCCAUCCCUGAGCAGGCCUCUGUUGGAAUCGCUCUCUGCCAGCUGUUUCAAAGCCCAGACCUUGCCGAGUAAAGCCCUUGACAGCAGGAGCACUCCGAUGGCGCGACGCAAAGAGCUCACACUUGAAGGCAGGAAAACAGCCCUGCACUGAAACGCGGGCCCCUGGCCCCUGUCUGACCUUGGAGACGUAGCCCGUCUUGGCAUCCCUCUGGCUCCACCUCUGUGGCUGGGGAACGUUGAAAGCAGUCAUCUCUGAGGUUCCGCCAGCUGGAAAUCUCUAUCACCUGACAGCUGACAUUCUAGGAAAGAAUUUAAACGAGAGUUUAUUUUUCUCCACCCCGUUGUCCUUCUUAGGUUACAAAAUUAGGAAAUCUAACCAAACCUGGCCACAGAGUAUGCCCUUCUGCGGCUAUUUCUAGGUGUCAUUCGGCCCCAGACCUCGCCCUUGGUCACCAGCGUGUGGGCUUCCUUCUUUUUUAGCUGCUGCUUCUUGAUACUUACGAGGGACAACGCUCUCCCGCGCCCAACUUCCAUCAGUGUCCUGCAGCCCCCCGAGCCUGUGUUGAUGCCUCUCUGGGACUCCCAGGCUGGCAGGGCACAGGAAACCGAAAUGACAUUCUGGGGAAAAGGAAAAAGGAAACCGAUUGGAGCAAAGAUAAGCCAGAGUUGGAGAUCUGACUGAGGAGCAUUUCUGGCCAGAGGGAGCACUUGGCCCGUGAUGGGCUCCAUGGAUGAGUCAGCACAGGAAUGGCAAACACAGCCUGUCAGGUCCCGAAGCUGCGAUGGAGCAGAAUAUUGAUUGCACUGGGGCGCACAGGAGAGAGCAAGAAGGAUAGGGAGGGAGAGAGAGCCGUUUACACCAGACAGAUGCAGAUAGAGAGGUGAGAGGCAUCCGGCCCUGGUUUUCCUUCCCGAGAGCCUGCUUCUAGCAGCUAAGGUCAGUUCCACACGUGCCUGCUGUAGCUUCCUUAAGCCCUGAGUAGCCCUCUGCUGCCUUCCAGAUAAGCUGGGGGUGAGCUGACGCAAGAGUGGGUGUGCAAGGCCGCACACCUGGCCGCUUCUGUCAGAAGCCACAUCUGCUCCCGGACCCAGGCUCCGUUCUUCAGCGGUAAUCACGCCUCUGCCGGGAAGGCACUGAGCCCAGGGAGCUGACCCAUUCAUCCUUGGCUUUUUACCAGCAGAUUCUGUUGUCCAUGGAUGAAACGACUGUGUUGUCAGAGAACAGGACUUCGGAGCAGGGAGCACGAAAUACGUUCCAGACAGAAAGAAGGGCUUCAAUUCCCUUUGAGUGCAGGGUCAGCCCAUCGGAGGACAACCAUGCCGUCUCCCCCUCAGCUGUGUCCCGAAUGAAUCUCCCAUACUUAGACCGUUGGGUGCAAAAAGGAAAUGAAAAAUGUAGUCUUCGAACACUGGACACCGCGUGCCUGUAUGGUGCAAGAGUCCAGGGGGCAUGUCCCCAGUGGUUUUGCUGUACGUUAUCCGGUACAACCGUCCGCAUAAUUAGCAACAAAAGAGCCAGUUUAGCAAGCAUUUAUAUGGCAACUAUGUAGCAGGCAUGCUGCUAGCUGGGGGGCUUCAAACAUGACUAAGACUGACUUAGUCAUAUGCUUUCUCAUGGCUUUGAUGGUUGUCGGGGAGGAAGUUGGUAUUGGAAAUGCUUCAUGGAACAACCUCGUAAGUAGUCACUAGAAUGAAAGACCAAAAAGCAUUCCAUUUAAAUUUUACUUAUUUUAUAAAAGAACAAAAAUAAACUGAAGUUGUUGAACCUUACGUAAAUGUUU